UACGGAGGGAGCUAGCGUUAUUCGGAAUUACUGGGCGUAAAGCGCACGUAGGCGGCUAUCCAAGUCAGAGGUGAAAGCCUGGAGCUCAACUCCAGAACUGCCUUUGAAACUAGAUGGCUUGAAUCCAGGAGAGGUGAGUGGAAUUCCGAGUGUAGAGGUGAAAUUCGUAGAUAUUCGGAAGAACACCAGUGGCGAAGGCGGCUCACUGGACUGGUAUUGACGCUGAGGCGCGAAAGCUAGGGGAGCAAACGGG
rnacentral:rRNA from 1 species